rnacentral:rRNA from 1 species
AUUGAACGCUGGCGGCAGGCCUAACACAUGCAAGUCGAGCGGAUGAAGGGAGCUUGCUCCUGGAUUCAGCGGCGGACGGGUGAGUAAUGCCUAGGAAUCUGCCUGGUAGUGGGGGAUAACGUCCGGAAACGGGCGCUAAUACCGCAUACGUCCUGAGGGAGAAAGUGGGGGGUCUUCGGACCUCACGCUAUCAGAUGAGCCUAGGUCGGAUUAGCUAGUUGGUGGGGUAAAGGCCUACCAAGGCGACGAUCCGUAACUGGUCUGAGAGGAUGAUCGGGCACACUGGAACUGAGACACGGUCCAUAGUCCUACGGGAGGCAGCAGUGGCGAAUAUUGGACAAUGGGCGAAAGCCUGAUCCAGCCACGCCGCGUGUGUCAAGACGGUUUUCGGAUUGUAAAGCACUUUAAGUUGGGAGGAAGGGCAGUAAGUGAAUACCGUGCUUCUUUGACGUUACCAAGAGAAUAAGGUCCGGCUAACUUCGUG